UCCGGCUUAUCACCGGCAGUCCCCCUAGAGUGCCCAACUGAAUGAUGGCAACUAAGGACAAGGGUUGCGCUCGUUGCGGGACUUGACCCAACAUCUCACGACACGAGCUGACGACAGCCAUGCAGCACUUGUGUUCGAGUUCCCGAAGGCACCAAUCCAUCUCUGGAAAGUUCUCGACAUGUCAAGGCCAGGUAAGGUUCUUCGCGUUGCAUCGAAUUAAACCACAUACUCCACCGCUUGUGCGGGCCCCCGUCAAUUCCUUUGAGUUUCAGUCUUGCGACCGUACUCCCCAGGCGGCGAACUUAAUGCGUUAGCGUCGGCACGGGAGGGGUCAAUACCCCCCACACCUAGUCCCCAUCGUUUACAGCGUGGACUAC
rnacentral:misc_RNA from 1 species